rnacentral:rRNA from 1 species
AUUGAACGCUGGCGGCAGGCCUAACACAUGCAAGUCGAGCGGUUGACGGGAGCUUGCUCCCUGAUUCAGCGGCGGACGGGUGAGUAAUGCCUAGGAAUCUGCCUAUUAGUGGGGGACAACGUUUCGAAAGGAACGCUAAUACCGCAUACGUCCUACGGGAGAAAGCAGGGGACCUUCGGGCCUUGCGCUAAUAGAUGAGCCUAGUUCGGAUUAGCUAGUUGGGGAGGUAAUGGCUCACCAAGGCGACGAUCCGUAACUGGUCUGAGAGGAUGAUCAGUCACACUGGAACUGAGACACGGUCCAGACUCCUACGGGAGGCAGCAGUGGGGAAUAUUGGACAAUGGGCGAAAGCCUGAUCCAGCCAUGCCGCGUGUGUGAAGAAGGUCUUCGGAUUGUAAAGCACUUUAAGUUGGGAGGAAGGGUUGUAGAUUAAUACUCUGCAAUUUUGACGUUACCGACAGAAUAAGCACCGGCUAACUCUGUGCCAGCCGCCGCCGUAAAAC